CGAUAUUUUGCAGUGAGCUCCCCUAAACGAACCAAAUGGUUUGGUCCGCCCGUGCCCUCUGCUGCUGUACGUCCUAUUAUUCCUACGUCAGCAUGGGAGAGCGCAGAGAGGAGGGGUGCCGUUGCGUUGUGGUUGGACGUGUGUUGACUAGCAGUUUUUUUCAUCUCCCAUGUGAUCUUGGACACUGAGUCAGGCUAGGCAGCUUUGGGCUGAUGUUAGACUACAAGACGAGCAUGAUCUUUGAGCUGAUUGGCAGAUGCAUGCAACCUUAUGGACUCCCAUUGCUUGCCGCUGAACUUUGACCUCUCCUGUCCCACCCCAUCCUGUCCUGUCUGACAGAGACAGAGAGUGAACCCUAAAACACACCCUACUUUAAAUUUAACUAGGCAAGUCAAUUAAGAACAAAUUCUUAUUUACAAUGAUGGCCUACCAGGGAAUAGUGGGUAAACUCCCUUCAAGGGCAGAAUGACAGAUUUUUACCUUGUCAGCUCAGGGAUUCGAUCCAGCAACCUUUCAGUUACUGGCCCAAUGCUCUAACCACUAGGCUACCUGCUGCCCCAAAUCUACCCUAUUCAACCCUACUCUAUCCUAUCC
rnacentral:lncRNA from 1 species